rnacentral:rRNA from 1 species
CAUUGGAAUGAGAACAAUCAAAAUCCUUUAUCGAGGAUCGAUUGGAGGGCAAGUUCUGGUGCCAGCAGCCGCGGUAAUUCCAGCUCGAAUAGCGUAUGUUAAAUUUGCUGCGGUUAAAAAGCUCGUAGUUGGGAGUCAGGAGAUGAACUGUGCGCUGUCAUGUCACAAAAUGACGUGUAUAGCAUUGCACCAGAUUCACUUCUUUAAUUUCGCUGCUCCUGCGUCGUCGAAGACCCAAUUAAGUUUGGGAGGCGCACUUUAAAGGGAAGGCGAUUAACUACUUUGAGAAAAUUAGCGUGCUUAACGCAAGCGACUUGCUUGAAUACUGUUGCAUGGAAUAAUGAGAUAGGACCUUGGUUCUGUUUCGUUGGUUUCCGGAAGCCGAGGUAAUGAUUGAUAGGGAUAAACGUGGGCAUUCGUAUUGUGGUGUUAGAGGUGAAAUUCGAUGAUCACCGCAGGACGUACAACUGCGAAAGCAUUUGCCAAGAAUGUUUUCAUUAAUCAAGAACGAAAGUUAGAGUUUCGAAGACGAUUAGAUACCGUCCUAGUUCUAACUAUAAACUAUGCCAACUGGGCAUCUGGCGCUUGCAACAACAAAGCAUCGCCAGGCACCCCGCGGGAAACCAAAGUUUAUUGGGGUUCCGGGGGGAGUAUGGUUGCAAAAUCGAAACUUAAAGGAAUUGACGGAGGGGCACACCAGAAGUGGAGCCUGCGGCUCAAUUUGACUCAACGCACGAAAACUUACUCGGUCCGAACACCGUGAGGAUUGACAGGUUGACAGCUCUUUCUUGAUUCGGUGGGUGGUGGUGCAUGGCCGUUCGUAGUUGGUGGAGUGAUUUGUCUGGUUUAUUCCGAUAACGAACGAGACUCUAGCCUAUUAAUUGGUGUGACGAGCAAGCCCUCAUAUCAUUCUUGUUAUUGAGUGGUAACGCCGUCAAAACGCUUCUUAGAGGGACAAGUGUCGUGAGGCACUCGAAGUUGAGCAAUAACAGGUCUGUGAUGCCCUUAGAUGUUCGGGGCUGCACGCGCGCUACAAUGGAGGCUUCAAAAGGCAUUCCUGUUUCGAAAGGAACAGGGAAUCAUAAAUGGCCUUCACGAUUGGGAUCGGAGAUUGUAAUUAUUCUUCGUGAAAGAGGAAUUCCUAGUAAGCGCGAAUCAUUAUUUCGCGUUGACUAAGUCCCUGCCCUUUGUACACACCGCCCGUCGCUACUACCGAUCGAAUGGUUUAGUGAGGUUUUCGGAUAGAUUGCAUGGUGCCACAAGUGCCACUGCGAAAUCUAAAAGU